CAGUCGCCGCGGGAAUACAGAGGAUGCAAGCGUUAUCCGGAAUGAUUGGGCGUAAAGCGUCUGUAGGUGGCUUUUUAAGUCCGCCGUCAAAUCCCAGGGCUCAACCCUGGACAGGUGGUGGAAACUACCAAGCUGGAGUACGGUAGGGGCAGAGGGAAUUUCUUGUGGAGUGGUGAAAUGCAUUGAGAUCGAAAAGAACACCAACGGCAAAAGCACUCUGCUAGGCUGACACUGACACUGAGAGACGAAAGCUAGGGGAGAAAAUGGGAUUAGAUACCCCAGUAGUCCCUGUCUCUUAUAC
rnacentral:rRNA from 1 species